GACGUAGGGCGCGAGCGUUGUCCGGAUUUAUUGGGCGUAAAGAGCUCGUAGGCGGCUUGUUGCGUCGACUGUGAAAACCUGCGGCUCAACCGUGUGGUCUGCAGUCGAUACGGGCAGGCUGGAGUUCGGUAGGGGAGACUGGAAUUCCUGGUGUAGCGGUGAAAUGCGCAGAUAUCAGGAAGAACACCUAUGGCGAAGGCAGCUCUCUGGGACGGUACUGACGCUGAGACGCGAAAGCGUGGGGAGCGAACAGG
rnacentral:rRNA from 1 species